ACUGAUGUAGAACAAGGCAUGCG
rnacentral:miRNA from 1 species